GAUGAAUGCUGGCGGCGUGCCUAACACAUGCAAGUCGAGCGGCAGCGAGGGGUGCUUGCACCCUGUCGGCGAGCGGCGAACGGCUGAGUAACGCGUAGGAAUUUGCCCCAAAGUGAGGAAUAACUGCCCGAAAGGGUAGCUAAUGCCGCAUAUGGUCUUCGGAUUAAAGGAUUUAUCCGCUUUGGGAGAAGCCUGCGUUGGAUUAGGUUGUUGGUAGGGUAAUGGCCUACCAAGCCGACGAUCCAUAGCUGGUCUGAGAGGAUGAUCAGCCAGACUGGAACUGAGACACGGUCCAGACUCCUACGGGAGGCAGCAGUGAGGAAUCUUCCACAAUGGGCGAAAGCCUGAUGGAGCAACGCCGCGUGAAGGUUGAAGGCCUUCGGGUUGUAAACUUCUUUUAUGAGUGAAGAAUAUGACGGUAACUCAUGAAUAAGCACCGGCUAACUACGUG
rnacentral:rRNA from 1 species